AAACUUUUAACAACGGAUCUCUUGGUUCUG
rnacentral:rRNA from 1 species